UACGUAGGUGGCAAGCGUUGUCCGGAUUUACUGGGCGUAAAGAGCGUGUAGGCGGCCCGGUAAGUCCGCUGUGAAAGUCGGGGGCUCAACCCUCGAAUGCCGGUGGAUACUGUCGGGCUAGAGUGCGGAAGAGGCGAGUGGAAUUCCUGGUGUAGCGGUGAAAUGCGCAGAUAUCAGGAGGAACACCAAUUGCGAAGGCAGCUCGCUGGGACGUUACUGACGCUGAGACGCGAAAGCGUGGGGAGCAAACAGG
rnacentral:rRNA from 1 species